GCAGGUUUCUCCAAACUCUGGCCCUCCAGAUGUUGCUGAACUGCUCUUUGAAUGAAAUAGCCAGAUAAUCAUGGGAGUUGUAGUUCGGCAACAGCUGGAGGGCCAGAGUUUGGAGAAUCCUGA